UGAUUGUGAGCCCGGAAAACAAUCAGGCUGUAAUCUGCUGGGUUAUAGUGAAAUCUCAAGCUAGGCUUGAGGAGUGGACGUAGGUGCUGGGAGUGCACCAAACCACUAUAAACCUUGGUGUUUGUGAUUGUGGUUCUUCUCUUCCUUUUCUCUGCAUAUUCCUAACUGCUUUCCUAACUUUAUUCACUGUCGUAUUUGUGCAAUCUUAUUUCCGCUGCUGAAUCUAUAAGAUAACAGUAACUCAUACUCUCCAUACAUUUUAACUUUAAUUAUUUU
rnacentral:lncRNA from 1 species